GUUGUGGCUCAGUGAUAGAGCACUCGCCUAGCAUGCACAAGGCACCGAGUUCGAUCCUCAGCACAACA
rnacentral:tRNA from 1 species